UCAGGCCUAACACAUGCAAGUCGAGCGCACCUUCGGGUGAGCGGCGGACGGGUUAAUAACGCGUGGGAAUAUGCCCAAAGGUACGGAAUAGCCUCUGGAAACGGAGAGUAAUACCGUAUGUGCCCUUCGGGGGAAAGAUUUAUCGCCUUUGGAUUAGCCCGCGUCUGAUUAGAUAGUUGGUGGGGUAACGGCCUACCAAGUCGACGAUCAGUAGCUGGUUUGAGAGGAUGAUCAGCAACACUGGGACUGAGACACGGCCCAGACUCCUACGGGAGGCAGCAGUGGGGAAUCUUAGACAAUGGGCGCAAGCCUGAUCUAGCCAUGCCGCGUGAGUGACGAAGGUCUUAGGAUCGUAAAGCUCUUUCGCCAGGGAUGAUAAUGACAGUACCUGGUAAAGAAACCCCGGCUAACUCCGUGCCAGCAGCCGCGGUAAUACGGAGGGGGUUAGCGUUGUUCGGAAUUACUGGGCGUAAAGCGCACGUAGGCGGAUUAUUAAGUCAGAGGUGAAAUCCCGGGGCUCAACCCCGGAACUGCCUUUGAUACUGGUAAUCUUGAGUUCGAGAGAGGUGAGUGGAAUUCCGAGUGUAGAGGUGAAAUUCGUAGAUAUUCGGAGGAACACCAGUGGCGAAGGCGGCUCACUGGCUCGAUACUGACGCUGAGGUGCGAAAGUGUGGGGAGCAAAACAGGAUUAGAUACCCUG
rnacentral:rRNA from 1 species